rnacentral:rRNA from 1 species
UACGUAGGGUGCAAGCGUUAAUCGGAAUUACUGGGCGUAAUGCGUGCGCAGGCGGUUGUGCAAGACAGAUGUGAAAUCCCCGGGCUCAACCUGGGAAUUGCAUUUGUGACUGCACGGCUAGAGUGUGUCAGAGGGGGGUAGAAUUCCACGUGUAGCAGUGAAAUGCGUAGAGAUGUGGAGGAAUACCGAUGGCGAAGGCAGCCCCCUGGGAUAACACUGACGCUCAUGCACGAAAGCGUGGGGAGCAAACAGG